GGCCGGAAGAAAACUGUUAAACCACCGUUCCCAGAAUGCACCAGCAACAUGGGAGGGAGGAACUACAGCCCUAGACAUAUACAGUAUACGGCUGCGUGGCAGAGAGGAGUACCGCAGCACUGUGGCAUGGAUUUAGCAGAAAGACGCUAGUUUUCAGACCCUCUGCAGGCAUUGCAUCGUUUACUGCGGUCUCUGGAAUAAGGGGAUCCCAAGACAGCAUGCAUGUGGUUCCCAGCUGGCCUCCCAUCUAAGCACUGACCAGACCCAGAUCUGCUUAGCUUCAGCAAGGAGUAAGUGAAGUCCCACUGAGUUCUCUGAGGCUUUCUCCUUUGUGUGAUUAGGACUGAAAUGUAAGUUUUCCUUAAUUGGAUGACAGCCUCUUAACCAAAUGCAAACAGUAUCAAGUAAAAAAAAUACAAAUGAAAUUGAAGAUAUCUUAUUUAUAAGAUAUAAAUGAAAUUGAAGAUAUAAGGUAUAAUUAAAAGAAAGGGAGGAGAAAGAGAUGGAAAAACUAGUCAAGUGAAGAGUGUUGUUUACUCAUCCUUUCCCCCCUAAACUUUAGUUAUUUAGUAUAAAGUUUCAGGAAGGCAGAUGGAAUUCUCUCCUCCAGUCUUUUUUGCUGCUUUUCUGUUUUCUCUAAUUGACAAUAA